rnacentral:lncRNA from 1 species
UGGUAGGUCAAACAUGAUGCUACACCCCAGUUCGAAACGAACCCAGUACAUAUAUUAUGUUUCUUGCAUGGCCAAUUUGUUAUAAUACCGUCCAUGCUUUAACCAUAUAAUUAAAGUCAUAAUCUAAUUUUCGGUAUUAGAAUAGUUAUAUUUAUGCACUAGCCCAUGGUAAGUCAAACACAAUGUUGCACUUCAGUCUGAGGUUAACCCAACAUAUACACC